GACGAACGCUGGCGGCGAGCUUAACACAUGCAAGUCGAACGAUGAACCCGGAGCUUGCUCCGGCGGAUUAGUGGCGAACGGGUGAGUAACACGUGAGUAACCUGCCCUUGACUCUGGGAUAACUGCGGGAAACUGUAGCUAAUACCGGAUACGACCCUCGGCGGCAUCGCCAGGGGGUGGAAAGAAUUUCGGUCAAGGAUGGACUCGCGGCCUAUCAGCUAGUUGGUGAGGUAACGGCUCACCAAGGCGACGACGGGUAGCCGGCCUGAGAGGGUGACCGGCCACACUGGGACUGAGACACGGCCCAGAGUCCUACGGGAGGCAGCAGUGGGGAAUAUUGCACAAUGGGCGCAAGCCUGAUGCAGCAACGCCGCGUGAGGGAUGACGGCCUUCGGGUUGUAAACCUCUUUUAGUAGGGAAGAAGCGAAAGUGACGGUACCUGCAGAAAAAGCACCGGCUAACUACGUGCCAGCAGCCGCAGUAA
rnacentral:rRNA from 1 species